CCUACGGGAGGCAGCAGUGGGGAAUUUUGGACAAUGGGGGCAACCCUGAUCCAGCCAUUCCGCGUGAGUGAAGAAGGCCUUCGGGUUGUAAAGCUCUUUUGUCGGGGACGAAACGGUUUUGGUUAAUAACCAAGACUACUGACGGUACCCGAAGAAUAAGCACCGGCUAACUACGUGCCAGCAGCCGCGGUAAUACGUAGGGUGCGAGCGUUAAUCGGAAUUACUGGGCGUAAAGCGUGCGCAGGCGGUUUUGUAAGCCAGAUGUGAAAUCCCCGGGCUCAACCUGGGAAUGGCAUUUGGGACUGCAAGGCUAGAGUAUGGCAGAGGGGACUAGAAUUCCUGGUGUAGCAGUGAAAUGCGUAGAUAUCAGGAGGAAUACCGAUGGCGAAGGCAGGUCCCUGGGCCAAUACUGACGCUCAUGCACGAAAGCGUGGGGAGCAAACAGGAUUAGAUACCCUGGUAGUCCACGCCCCAAACGAUGUCAACUGGUUGUUGGGGGAUUUAUUCUCUUAGUAACGAAGCUAACGCGUGAAGUUGACCGCCUGGGGAGGUACGGUCGCGAGAUAAACUACAAGAAGUAGAGCGNGAGAGNGCGACGACGACGACGAGGAGAGG
rnacentral:rRNA from 1 species